AUGAAGUCUAACACCACUCUUGUUACUUGUAUUCUUUUGACAUAAAUUCUCUUAAGUGGUCGAUAAUGCCAGUUCUUGUGGAAUUUGAAGUAAGUAACAAUGCACUUGGAGAGGAGGAUUUUCGUAAGGCUUACAAAGCAAGUAGCUCUACGAAAUAAUUUGCGAAUAAGUCUUGGGUCAUCAAAAGAUACAAAAAUGAAGCUCUUGAAAUCAUUGGGAAAAUUAACCAGACAGUGGAAGAUCAAGUUAAAAAGGUUAUUCAGAUGCAUCAACUUGCUCGUAACUUUGCUAUGCAGAUUG